ensembl:lncRNA
AUGUUCGAUUUGCUGUUAAUAUUGUCCUGGGUGAUCCUGUUUUAUGUAAUCCGUGCCAUGCUCUCCCUUCUCCGCUAUAUUCGAUUAGAGAAUGUGCUAAAAUCUGUGCUCGUAUUUUUUAGUUCGCUGUGCUGUCAAGCACUGGCCUUGAGUCUAAUCUCGUAUUCAGUCCCUGCAUUGUUAUCAAUUGGGUCUCUUGGAAAUUAUCUUUCAGAGAAAAUUCAGAAUUACACUGCCUUCCUUUCCUCCUCUGGAUGUCAGUUUAUGAAUAAUAUCAGGAAUGGUACCUCCUCCUUCUUUCCCUGUGGGCUAAUUACAGCAGCUUUUGAGUACUUUGAGUACCCAUGGGUAACCAGCAUACUCUUAUUGCUAAGUCUGUACAAUGUGCUUCUUCUUCUCUCUAAGGUUAAACAAUUAGUUAAGAAUACCACCCAGGAACCUGCCCCGAGACAGUGUGGUGGCAGGUGGCAAGGUGUGUGGGAGGAUAUGGGCAGGUACCUGCCACGGUUGUCUCCCCCGAUGGCUUUGAACUUCACCCCUGAACAAAUGAGAGAUCCUAAGAAACUGGUAGAAUGUUUGAAAGCCGUAUGUCCUGACCCUGGCAAUGCCGGGGAACGACAGCUUGCUGCACUCUGCUGGGGCCUGGCCUACGCCUAUCAAACGGUACUUAACACUGCCCAGCACCCUCAGGGGGAGGAGGAGGACUCUGAAUCUGAUGACGAGACAGCAUACACCGUGUCUGAUCCAGAGGACCAACCAUCUACAGUAUCAGACACUCCCCCAGCCAAGACAAAACAACGGAAAGGGAAGUCAGCUCGGACAGAAAUCAUAUAUGAAUCAGAAACCACCCGAUCCCUAUCCUUGAGUGAGUUGCGACACAUACGAAAGGAUUUCAGUCAUCACCCAGGUGAGCACAUCCUCACCUGGCUGCUUCGAUGCUGGGACACUGGGGCCAAUAUGCAGAAACUACAAGGCAAGGAAGCUAAACAGCUGGGAUCCCUCUCUAGAGAAAGGCUCAUUGACAGAGUGAUUGGGAGAGAGGCUCGGGUUCUCAGCCUCUGGAGGCAACUCCUGGCAGCUGUGAAAGAAAGGUAUCCCCACCAGGAAGAUACUGUAUAUCAACUAGGCAAGUGGACCACCAUGGAGAAAGGUCUACAGCAACUGAGGGAAUUAGCUGUGCUGGAGAUGGUUUGUAGUGAUUUAGACAACGCCCAGACACCUAAAGAUCCCGAUGAAGUCCAGUGCACGCCAUCCAUGUGGUGUAAGUUUGUGUGGGGUGCACCAUCAUCACAUGCCAGCACGCUGGCUGCAAUGAGGUGGAAAGAUGUGAUGGGAUCAACAGUGUAUGUUGUGUCCAGACAGCUUCAGCAAUAUGAAGAAAAUCUCUUUGCCCCACUACGGGCCUGCACCGUGGCUGUAGAGAAACUGUCCCAAAAUGUCCACCACCUUAAAGAACGUACAUCUUCCUCCUCAGCCAGAGGGAGAAAUAUUUCAGCCAUGCAGAAUCAGUAUUUUCCUGUUCGAGGGAAAGAGUACCCGAGACGCACACCACGUGGCACCUUGUGGUUUUAUCUGCAUGAGCAUGGGGAAGAUAUGAGGAAGUGGGGUGGCGAACCUACCUCGACCCUGGCAGCUCAAGUAUGUGAACUGCAAGGAAACAUGGCAGCAAAAAGGGGGUCUCCUAGGAAAACUGCUGCUCUGGUUUCUGUUGGGCAGUCCCCCAGAGGGAGUAGAAGGGCUGAUGUUACUCUUGACCCUGAUGGAGAGACCUCUGCUUUGCAUUGGCAAGAAUUAAGUGACAGAUACUUCAACUAG